GAUGAACGCUAGCGGCAGGCCUAACACAUGCAAGUCGAGGGAGAGGUUAUCUUCGGGUAACCAAAACCGGCGCACGGGUGCGUAACGCGUAUACAAUCUGCCUUUCACAUAGGGAUAGCCCGAAGAAAUUUGGAUUAAUACCUAAUGGUAUAUAAGAGCGGCAUCGUUUUUAUAUUAAAGCUACGGUGGUGAAAGAUGAGUAUGCGUUCUAUUAGCUAGUUGGAGAGGUAACGGCUCCCCAAGGCGACGAUAGAUAGGGGUUCUGAGAGGGAUGUCCCCCACACUGGUACUGAGAUACGGACCAGACUCCUACGGGAGGCAGCAGUGAGGAGUAUUGGACAAUGGUCGGAAGACUGAUCCAGCCAUGCCGCGUGCAGGAUGAAGGUCCUAUGGAUUGUAAACUGCUUUUGUAAGGGAAGAAUAAGGGGUACGUGUACUUUGAUGACGGUACCUUACGAAUAAGCAUCGGCUAACUCCGUGCCAGCAGCCGCGGUAAUACGGAGGAUGCGAGCGUUAUCCGGAAUCAUUGGGUUUAAAGGGUCCGUAGGCGGGCUGAUAAGUCAGAGGUGAAAGCGCUUAGCUCAACUAAGCAACUGCCUUUGAAACUGUCAGUCUUGAAUGAUUGUGAAGUAGUUGGAAUGUGUAGUGUAGCGGUGAAAUGCUUAGAUAUUACACAGAACACCGAUAGCGAAGGCAUAUUACUAACAAUUUAUUGACGCUGAUGGACGAAAGCGUGGGGAGCGAACAGG
rnacentral:rRNA from 1 species